rnacentral:rRNA from 1 species
GACAGAGGGUGCAAACGUUGUUCGGAAUUACUGGGCGUAAAGCGCGUGUAGGCGGCUCGGCAAGUCGGAUGUGAAAGCCCUGGGCUUAACCUAGGAAGUGCAUUCGAAACUGCCAAGCUUGAGUUCUGGAGAGGAAGGCGGAAUUCUCGGUGUAGAGGUGAAAUUCGUAGAUAUCGAGAGGAACACCGGUGGCGAAGGCGGCCUUCUGGACAGCAACUGACGCUGAGACGCGAAAGCGUGGGGAGCGAACAGG